CUUUCUUUGCUAGCGACCGGCGCACGGGUGAGUAACACGUAUCCAACCUGCCCUUUACUCGGGGAUAGCCUUUCGAAAGAAAGAUUAAUACCCGAUAGCAUAAUGAUUCCGCAUGGUUUCAUUAUUAAAGGAUUCCGGUAAAGGAUGGGGAUGCGUUCCAUUAGGUUGUUGGUGAGGUAACGGCUCACCAAGCCUUCGAUGGAUAGGGGUUCUGAGAGGAAGGUCCCCCACAUUGGAACUGAGACACGGUCCAA
rnacentral:rRNA from 1 species